rnacentral:rRNA from 1 species
AAUAGAUACCCGGGUAGUCCACGCCGUAAACGAUGGAUGCUAGCUGUUAGGAGUAUCGACCCUUCUAGUAGCGAAGCUAACGCGUUAAGCAUCCCGCCUGGGGAGUACGAACGCAAGUUUAAAACUCAAAGGAAUUGACGGGGACCCGCACAAGUGGUGGAGCGUGUUCUUUAAUUCGAAGCUAAGCGAAGAACCUUACCAGGGCUUGACAUCCUUGGAAUCUUUCCGAAAGGAGAGAGUACUUUAUUGGACCAAGUGACAGGUGUUGCAUGGCCGUCGUCAGCUCGUGUCGUGAGAUGUUUGGUUAAGUCCAUUAACGAGCGCAACCCUUAUGAUUAGUUGAAUUUUUCUAAUCAGACUGCCUCGGUAACGGGGAGGAAGGAGGGGAUGAUGUCAGGUCAUUAUUACCCUUACGUCCUGGGCUAGAAACGCGCUACAAUGGCCGGUACAAAGGGCAGCCAACCCGCGGAGGGGGAGCAAAUCCCAUCAAAACCCGGUCCCAGUUCGGAUUGCAGGCUGAAACUCGCCUGCAUGAAGCCGGAAUCACUAGUAAUCGUAGGUC